rnacentral:rRNA from 1 species
ACGAGCGCAACCCCUACUUCUAGUUGCCAUCAGGUUAAGCUGGGCACUCUAGUAGGACUGCCUGUGAUAAGCAGGAGGAAGGUUGGGAUGACGUCAAGUCCUCAUGGCCCUUACGUGUUGGGCCACACACGUGCUACAAUGGCAGUGACAAUGAGAUGCUAAACAGCGAUGUUAAGCUAAACUCAAAAACCUGCCUCAGUUCGGAUUGCACUCUGCAACUCGAGUGCAUGAAGCUGGAAUCGCUAGUAAUCGCUCAUCAGCGCGGAGCGGUGAAUACGUUCCCGGGUCUUGUACACACCGCCCGUGGGGCGGGGGCGGCGGGCCGGGCGCGGGGCGCGGCGGGCG